rnacentral:rRNA from 1 species
CCCUUAGAUGUUCGGGGCCGCACGCGCGCUACACUGAAUGAAUCAGCGAGUGUAUGUCCUAGGCCGAAAGGUCCGGGUAACCCGUUGAACCUCAUUCGUGAUUGGGAUAGGGACUUGCAAUUGUUUCCCUUGAACGAGGAAUUCCCAGUAAGCGCAAGUCAUCAGCUUGCGUUGAUUACGUCCCUGCCCUUUGUACACACCGCCCGUCGCUCCUACCGAUUGAAUGCUCAGGUGAGCCAUUCGGACUUUCAUCAUGCUGGUUUCCAGUUUUGAUGAAGGAAAGUCUUGCGAACCUUAUCAUUUAGAGGAAGGAGAAGUCGUAACA